AUAAAGUCCAGCUACUAAGAGCUCCAUGAAGCAAUAAAACAGUCUGGCCUAAGUUACUGAGCUUCUUUGAAGUCCCAGAGAGGCCCAUAAAUAAGGUAGGUACUUUGGAAGGGGGGGGCACUCAUUUUGAGGGGUCCCUACGCAACUCUUUCAGAGCCACAUUGAUUUGUAGCUGCCUCUAAGUCAAUUUCCUGGGGCUCAUAAAUCUUGAUUCGAGCAAAACUAAAAUGCCAUCAAUAUUUAUUUGAUGCAUUUAUUGUCACUCCACAGAAAAAAAAAUAAAAAGUCAGCAUUCUCAUCCGCCACCCCGGAGAAGGUAUGGAACAUAGCCAUCCCUGGCUCCUCACAGACCAUUUCGUUGUGAACCAUAAACCCCACCCAGGUAACAAAUGUACCAUUUCAUGGUCAGCAAGAGCGGUAACUGUCACUGGAGAAAUAAAACUGAGUUAUUGUUUCCAGUUUCCAAAGAACAGCAACAAGUAUAAAAAAAAAAACCUGUAUGUGAUCCCUGUCCUCUUCCCCUCAAGACACCUGCAGCCGUCUAAUGUUUCACUGAAUCCUGCCACAUAAAUGCAUAGCUUCACUCACUAAUCCAUAUGGCUCCAGAGACCACUGUUACAUGAGAACUUAAACUGAUGGGGCCAGGCAGCCCAGGGCAGCUUAAUCUUUUUUAAUUCAAAUCGACUGAGUCCCAUGUGGCCCGGAGAUGAUACCCUAUAUGCUGCAAUCAGACUGACCUAGACUUCUUGUGCUCUAAAUGAUUAAUGAAACUGCCUCGAGUUUGUUUCUAUGGUGACUGGAAACCCGACCCGGACAGAGGAAUCUGCCAUUCACGGUGAAUGGAACGGAAAGAGGGGAACAGGGGGACCCUGGCUGCUGGUGCUGGUCUUGAAGAGAAGAUGCCCAAAUGCCUCAACUCCUCCCCCAGGCCGCUGCUGUGGGUUCAGAAAUUGCAGUGAGGGGAGAGGAAGAAAAUGGCCCUCCUAGGGAAGUUUUAACUCAACAAAACUGCAGAAUUAUUUUAUUCUCCCAAAGUAUUCCUAAAGCAAAUGACCAAAGAAGAAUUGAGGGAAGUUAGUAUUUAAUUCACAUUUGGUUUCCUAAAAUAAAUACAUGAGUAACUUAAAGAAAACAAAACCAUAAAAUCUUUGAUUCCUUCUUUAGAAUGAAUGGUUUUUGUCUACUAUGAACAUGACAAGAGCUGCUGAGUAUUUCGCAUGACCUGUGCACUCUCUGGUUCUAUGUAGUUUUAUUUGUUUCCCCUCCUUAUUUAACAUAGGCUGAAUUUGGGCUUCAUGCAGCAAAACUUUGCUGUCAGAACUGUCAGAGGCCAGCUGAGCAGAACUUGGGGGGAAUUACAUGCAGCUGGUGGAGAAGCAAUGGAUGUGAAGAGUUUGUGCCAAGGGUUACCUGCUGCCAUCCACCUGGCACGACAGUUGGGUCCUGCUUCAGGAUGGAGUUGAUCCUAGCUUUCUCAGCAGAGCCUCCAAACCCUGCCAGGUGCCCAAGUGCCACAAAAUACGGAACCUUUAGAGAGGUCUCAUACAGGGACCACCAAAGGACAAAUGUGAACAUCUGAAAUCUGAUGCCUCGUCCAAUUGCUAUUGACCGAGGGAUGGUGAGUAUGGGAGUUCAUGGGGGCAUCCUUUCCUGCUUUCUUCCCUCCUGCUCACCUACCUUUCUUCAUUUGAUCUCUAGCUACUUCCUUCAACACUCAGUCCCCCUGCACAUCAGCCUGUGAUGCCUUGUAUUUCCCAUAGAAGAAAUUCCAGACUUUUGUAAGACACAUGCAGGUACCUACGAGGUUCUGCCCACCUUCCAUCCCAGCUUCGUCUCCCACUCAUCUCUGCUGACUGACUGUUCACUGCCUGACCUAUGUCCAUGACUUGCCAGUUCUCUGCCUUUGCUUGCACUGUUCCCUCUGUCUGCAAUGCCUUCCCCAUCUCCAUCUGUUGGAAUGCUCCUUUUCCCCACGUUCCAGCUCUGAUGCCAUCUCCACAACAGGCAUCUCAGCUCCUCAGGCACAGGGUCUCUUCCCUGCCUCUCUUCCCCACUGUGGUAUCUUUUAUAAUAAACAGUACCCCUGACUCUGCCUUGCAUGAUGGGAAAUCUUGUUCUUGGUCACAGAGCUCGGCACAUAGCACGUGCUCAAUCUGUGUUUGCCAACUUGAAUUUCUAUUUCCAACCUUACUUCUAGCUGGUAGGGUCAUCUGGCCACACUAUCUGUUAUCCCCAUGAUGGUCACUGCUUGCUGUCCCUGAGUCAACAAAGGCUUCAGGACUUUGUGGCUCAGAAAACAGUGAGGGAUGCUUCUGGGAAGGCAACCAGGAACUGCUCCACUCAGCUCUAAGCCUCUCUUCCCACCAAGCUGGAGCUCAUCUGGCCUAAGUUUCUGCAAAUUGAAACCUUCCCUGUUGAAGGCCUGAGUGGUCUAAACCAGGGCUCAGCGGUGUUCAGAGGGUCUGGCCAAGCCCUGCCUCCCAUCCUGGCCCCUCUAUGGCGGCAUGGUUGGCUGCCGGCAGCCGGGGCUGGGCCACACCUGUCGGGCAGGGCCCUCCCUCUGCCCUUGGCAGGAGGAGAACCUGAGUGGGAACAGGCCUAAGCCAGUCUCUCACCCAUCCACUUAGACGUUUUUGCAAGCCACUUCCUGGUGAGGGAUCCCUUUGCCUUAUCUGAGUCCCCUGUGGAAGUGGAUAUCAUGUGUGCCUGCUCUGCUCCCUGAAGACACAGGUGGUAAAACUUGGGUGUGGGGCCCUGGCAGGGAAGGAGUAGUGUUGAGAUGCCUAGAAACAGAUAUUCGGGUGAGCAGAGUAGAAGGGAAGAGUAUGUUAACACAGGGUGACUGUCUGUCCUGGCAGGUAAACCUGGUGGGGAGGGUUACGUCCACAGCAUAGGGUCCACUUUGCCAAAUUAUAGACCUCGCCCCAUCCUGCUCAUCUGGAGUCACCCCAUGCUGCAGCACAGAGCUCAGAGAAGGCCCCUUACUCACUGUCCUGGCCACUGCUUCUUCAUUUGUCUGAAGGACAAGCUUGCAGCCCCUGCAUCUGUAACACUUUGUGAGUGGUAAAGAAUCUCUCUCCCCUGUUCCCCUUCAUCUCCCCUUGUCAACCCCCUUUCUGCCCUAAAUGCAACCUGUCAUGGCUAUUCAUUUUUUCAGAUUGCAUUUUAUUCUGAAGGGCUCCAAAAAGCCCCUAUCCUCCAUCCAGAAGGCUCUUUCAGGGACCCGAAGAGUGCUCUGCCCAGGCCUGGCGUGGCGAGUGGACUGGUGGGUGACCUCAGACAACGUGGGGACUGAGUCAGCCGCUGCAGGGAGGAAAGUGAGACUUGCAGGAGACACUGAGAGGGAAGUGAAGCCAUGAAUAUUUAGACAGAGGGAGAGUGGAAUUCAACCUGACACUGAUACACAGGAGGAUUGGAUUGAUAGCAAUAGCCUAAAAUUAGAAGCGGUCUACGGGGGAGUUCGGAGUUCAGGCUCUGGAGACAGACUGGGUGAAAAACUCUGAAUUGGCCACUUACUAGCCCAGUAACCUUGGGCAAACUGAUCAACCUGUCUGUGCCUCAGCUCCCUCAUAUGUAAAGUAAUCUCUACUUUACCUUAAUAGACUUCCUCUACGGGAUCGUUGUGAGGAUUAAGUGACUUCUUGCAACAGUGCUUGGCACAUGGUAAGCACAUACUUGUUGCAUUAUAACAGAAUAAAGAUCCUGUCUUAGGUCUGUUGGGAUCUUUCUUUCAUCUAGAGUGCCUUUUGCUGCUUUCCAAAUCCCCCUUCCACCCUUUUAUUUGUUUUGGAGGAAAGAAGUGUGCCAUGGGCUGUGGACUGAAAGUUCGUGUCCCCCACAAAAUUCAUACAUUGAAAUCCUAACCCCCAAAGUGACAGUAUUAGGAGGUGGAGCAUUUGGGAGGUGAUUUGGUCAUGAGGGUGGAGCCUUCAUGCACGGGAUUAGUGCCCUUAUCAAAGGGACCCCAGAGAGCUCUCUAGUUCUCCCUCUGCCAUGUGAGGACACAGAGAAGUUAGCAGUCUGCAACCUGGAAGAAGGCCCUCGCCAAAACCCGGCCAUGCUGGCGUCCUGAUCUUGAAAGUCCAGUCUCCAGAACUGUGAGAAAUAAGUAUUUGUCUUUUAAGCCACCCAGCCCAUGGUAAUUUGUUACAGCAGCC
rnacentral:lncRNA from 1 species